GUCCACGCCCUAAACGAUGAUGACUAGUUGUUGGGGGAGUUAAAUCCCUUAGUAACGCAGCUAACGCGUGAAGUCAUCCGCCUGGGGAGUACGGUCGCAAGAUUAAAACUAAAAGGAAUUGACGGGGGCCCGCACAAGCGGUGGAUGAUGUGGUUUAAUUCGACGCAACGCGAAAAACAUUACCUACCCUUGACAUGUGCGGAAUCCUGCAGAGAUGCAGGAGUGCCCGAAAGGGAACCGCAACACAGGUGCUGCAUGGCUGUCGU
rnacentral:rRNA from 1 species